rnacentral:tRNA from 1 species
GCAGCUGAAGCUCAGUUGGUUAGAGCGCCGGUCUGUGGAACCGGAGGUCGGUGGUUCGAACCCACCCAGCUGUACCA